CACCGUGUUGUGUGAAACGAGCCAGAACGGU
rnacentral:piRNA from 1 species